GUGGGGAAUAUUGGGCAAUGGGCGAAAGCCUGACCCAGCAACGCCGCGUGAAGGAAGAAGGUUUUCGGAUCGUAAACUUCUAUCCUAGGUGAAGAUAAUGACGGUAGCCUAGAAGGAAGCCCCGGCUAACUACGUGCCAGCAGCCGCGGUAAUACGUAGGGGGCAAGCGUUGUCCGGAAUGAUUGGGCGUAAAGGGCGCGUAGGCGGCCAUGUAAGUCCGAUGUGAAAGUCCUGCUUUUAAGGUGGGAAUUGCAUUGGAAACUGUGUGGCUUGAGUGCAGGAGAGGUAAGUGGAAUUCCCGGUGUAGCGGUGAAAUGCGUAGAGAUCGGGAGGAACACCAGUGGCGAAGGCGACUUACUGGACUGUAACUGACGCUGAGGCGCGAAAGUGUGGGGAGCAAACAGGAUUAGAAACCCGGGUAGUCC
rnacentral:rRNA from 1 species